UGAUGAGCCAAAACUGAGGAUAUCUGGAGCACCUCUCCCAUGCCUUCUCUCCGACUCUAAUCCCCGGACAUCCCGUUAGCUUUCAGCGUGUGUCGUAACAAUUACUGUUGUCUGUCAGCGUCCAUGAGAGAGGCUCGAAAUGGAAAGGAUUAAUACAUAACAGAUUGCCAGAUUGACGACACAAACAGGAACGAGCCACUUGAUGAUGAAUGAAAUGAAAUACGCCGUGUUUUCCAUCAACUGGCAACCCGGGGUGCUGAGAUACAAUUGGGUAAACUGGAAGUGGGCGGGUUUUAAAAACCAAAACAAAGAUCGACAGCCCAUAUCCUUAACCAUCAGACUAGCACCGCCCACUACGCCUGUUGAACAAACAAACAAGCAUCUGAAGAGGUCAACAUGUCUAGGAACACCAACGUAGACAGCGAGUGCUGAGCGCCUGAAAUCAUAGCUGACUGAACAAACAAGCGGUUUGGUGGCAAUUUUGCCGCCAGUUAUGAAAGCUCUGACAUCAGUGACACAGCACACUUAACAGACGGGGAAAACCAAACCGUCAGUCACAGAGGAAGUUUUAGGAUGUUUCCAAGCAAGACAGGAGGAGCUUUAAUAAAAAAGAAUUUAGCAUGAGAAAAGUAUAAACAAUAACAUAUGGGAUGUGUGUGGCAAGAGAAGUAG
ensembl:lncRNA